rnacentral:rRNA from 1 species
UUGAUCCUGGCUCAGAACGAACGCUGGCGGCAGGCCUAACACAUGCAAGUCGAGCGAGGACUUCGGUCCUAGCGGCGGACGGGUGAGUAACGCGUGGGAACGUGCCCUUCACUACGGAAUAGUCCCGGGAAACUGGGUUUAAUGCCGUAUACGCCCUUCGGGGGAAAGAAUUUCGGUGAAGGAUCGGCCCGCGUCUGAUUAGGUAGUUGGUGGGGUAACGGCCUACCAAGCCUACGAUCAGUAGCUGGUUUGAGAGGAUGAUCAGCCACACUGGGACUGAGACACGGCCCAGACUCCUACGGGAGGCAGCAGUGGGGAAUCUUAGACAAUGGGGGCAACCCUGAUCUAGCCAUGCCGCGUGAGUGACGAAGGCCCUAGGGUCGUAAAGCUCUUUCACCAGGGAAGAUAAUGACGGUACCUGGAGAAGAAACCCCGGCUAACUCCGUGCCAGCAGCCGCGGUAAUACGGAGGGGGUUAGCGUUGUUCGGAAUUACUGGGCGUAAAGCGCGCGUAGGCGGACUGUUAAGUCAGGGGUGAAAUCCCGGGGCUCAACCCCGGAACUGCCCUUGAUACUGGCAGUCUCGAGUUCGAGAGAGGUGAGUGGAGCUCCGAGUGUAGAGGUGAAAUUCGUAGAUAUUCGGAAGAACACCAGUGGCGAAGGCGGCUCACUGGCUCGAUACUGACGCUGAGGUGCGAAAGUGUGGGGAGCAAACAGGAUUAGAUACCCUGGUAGUCCACACCGUANACGAUGAAUGCCAGACGUCGGGCAGCAUGCUGUUCGGUGUCACACCUAACGGAUUAAGCAUUCCGCCUGGGGAGUACGGCCGCAAGGUUAAAACUUCAAAGGAAUUGACGGGGGCCCGCACAAGCGGUGGAGCAUGUGGUUUAAUACGAAGCAACGCGCAGAACCUUACCAA